rnacentral:rRNA from 1 species
UAAUAGCGUAUAUUAAAGUUGUUGCAGUUAAAAAGCUCGUAGUUGGAUUUUUGGUUCGUAUAACCUUCCCGAGUUCGCUCGUGAGUGGGUUGCAUGGGCCAUCCUUUCAGUUUGGCUGUGCUUCCUCUUAACUGAGUGGUGCAGUUGGUCUGAGACUUUUACUUUGAGCAAAUUGACGCGUUCAAAGCAGGCAAACGCCUUGAACACAUUAGCAUGGAAUAAUAACAUAGGACUGUAGUUCUAUUUUGUUGGUUUCUAGGACUGGAGUAAUGAUUAAUAGGGACAGUUGGGGGCAUCCAUAUUUAGCAGUCAGAGGUGAAAUUCUAAGAUUUGCGAAAGAUGAACUUCUGCGAAAGCAUUUGCCAAGGAUGUUUUCAUUAA